GCAGUAGCCGCGGUAAUACGGAGGGAGCUAGCGUUGUUCGGAAUUACUGGGCGUAAAGCGCACGUAGGCGGCUACUCAAGUCAGAGGUGAAAGCCCGGGGCUCAACCCCGGAACUGCCUUUGAAACUAGGUGACUAGAAUCUUGGAGAGGUCAGUGGAAUUCCGAGUGUAGAGGUGAAAUUCGUAGAUAUUCGGAAGAACACCAGUGGCGAAGGCGACUGACUGGACAAGUAUUGACGCUGAGGUGCGAAAGCGUGGGGAGCGAACAGGAUUAGAUACCCCAGUAGUCCCUGUCUCUUAUAC
rnacentral:rRNA from 1 species